UACGUAGGGGGCAAGCGUUGUCCGGAAUCAUUGGGCGUAAAGCGCGUGUAGGCGGUUCGGUAAGUCUGCUGUGAAAGUCCAGGGCUCAACCCUGGGAUGCCGGUGGAUACUGCUGGGCUAGAGUACGGAAGAGGCAAGUGGAAUUCCCGGUGUAGCGGUGAAAUGCGCAGAUAUCGGGAGGAACACCUAUUGCGAAGGCAGCUCGCUGGGACGUUACUGACGCUGAGACGCGAAAGCGUGGGGAGCAAACAGG
rnacentral:rRNA from 1 species